UGAGGAAUAUUGGUCAAUGGGCGGGAGCCUGAACCAGCCAAGCCGCGUGAGGGAGGAAGGCCCUAUGGGUCGUAAACCUCUUUUGUCAGGGAACAAAAGCGAGUAUGUAUACUAGUCUGAGUGUACCCUGAAGAAAAAGCAUCGGCUAACUCCGUGCCAGCAGCCGCGGUAAUACGGAGGAUGCGAGCGUUAUCCGGAUUUAUUGGGUUUAAAGGGUGCGUAGGCGGCGGUGCAAGUCAGCGGUAAAAGCCCGGGGCUCAACCCCGGCGAGCCGUUGAAACUGCAGUGCUAGAGAAGGCGAGAGGUACGCGGAAUGCGCAGUGUAGCGGUGAAAUGCUUAGAUAUUGCGCAGAACUCCGAUUGCGAAGGCAGCGUACUGGCGCCUGACUGACGCUGAGGCACGAAAGCGUGGGGAUCGAACAGGAUUAGAUACCC
rnacentral:rRNA from 1 species